rnacentral:rRNA from 1 species
UACGUAGGGUGCAAGCGUUAAUCGGAAUUACUGGGCGUAAAGCGUGCGCAGGCGGUUUUGUAAGUCUGUCGUGAAAUCCCCGGGCUCAACCUGGGAAUUGCGAUGGAGACUGCAAGGCUAGAAUCUGGCAGAGGGGGGUAGAAUUCCACGUGUAGCAGUGAAAUGCGUAGAUAUGUGGAGGAACACCGAUGGCGAAGGCAGCCCCCUGGGUCAAGACUGACGCUCAUGCACGAAAGCGUGGGGAGCAAACGAGG